GACGAACGCUGGCGGCGUGCUUAACACAUGCAAGUCGAACGGAAAGGCCCUGCUUGCAGGGUGCUCGAGUGGCGAACGGGUGAGUAACACGUGGGUGAUCUGCCCCUUACUUUGGGAUAAGCCUGGGAAACUGGGUCUAAUACUGGAUAGGACCAUGCUGUAGGUGAUGUGGUGGAAAGAUUAGUUUCGGUAAGGGAUGAGCUCGCGGCCUAUCAGCUUGUUGGUGGGGUAAUGGCCUACCAAGGCGUCGACGGGUAGCCGGCCUGAGAGGGUGGACGGCCACAUUGGGACUGAGAUACGGCCCAGACUCCUACGGGAGGCAGCAGUGGGGAAUAUUGCACAAUGGGCGCAAGCCUGAUGCAGCGACGCCGCGUGGGGGAUGACGGCCUUCGGGUUGUAAACUCCUUUCAGCCAUGACGAAGCCCUUGUGGUGACGGUAGUGGUAGAAGAAGCACCGGCUAACUACGUG
rnacentral:rRNA from 1 species